CAGUCGCCGCGGUAAUACGAGGGGUGCAAGCGUUAUUCGGAUUGAUUGGGCGUAAAGGGAGCGCAGGCGGUUUAGUAAGUCUGAAGUUAAAGGCAUUGGCUCAACCAAUGUAUGCUUUGGAAACUGUUAGACUUGAGUGCAGAAGGGGAGAGUGGAAUUCCAUGUGUAGCGGUGAAAUGCGUAGAUAUAUGGAGGAACACCGGUGGCGAAAGCGGCUCUCUGGUCUGUCACUGACGCUGAGGCUCGAAAGCGUGGGUAGCGAACAGGAUUAGAUACCCCAGUAGUCCCUGUCUCUUAUACC
rnacentral:rRNA from 1 species